CCAUGACUGAAGCCAAGCGAAGGUUCCUGCGACCUGCUGCACCAGCUGUCUGCAGACUCCACCCGAGUGACCCGGCCCCAAGCCCUCCACGACCCUUUUAACUGGACCAGACCCGCCAAAGGCACAGAGACAAGUCACUGUCCCCAGUCUGCAGUCACCUUGGAUUCUGGAAAGAACAAAGCCUCACAGGACAGCCCCUCCCCCACGUGAGGGCAACUGUUCCUGAGGUGAGUCUGUAACCCCGGGAGCGGGAGUGACCCUCUCCUGAGAACCUGCCUGUCCCCUUACGCAACGGGACUUCUUUUGGACCAUUCUGCAGGGCCGCCUGUUCAAGUAUGCGUACCUCUCGCUAUCUGCCCCAAUUCUUCCAAUAUUUAAGCUUAAAAUGCAUGGUGGCUCAUGCCUGUAAUACCAGCCCUUGGGAGGCUGAGGCAGGAGGAUUAGGAAUUCAAGGCCACCAUUGGCUACAUGAGACCCUGGCUAAAAAAUAAACAAAUAAACAAACAAACAAACAAAUAAAUAAAUAAGGGGGCUGGAGAGAUGGCUCAGAGGUUAGGAACACCGACUGCUCUUCCAGAGGUCCUGAGUUCAAUUCCCAGCAACCACAUGGCGGCUCACAACCAUCUGUAAUGAGAUCUGGCGCCCUCUUCUGUAUACAUAAUAAAUAAAUAAAUCUUUAAAAAAUAUAUAAAUAAAUAAAUAAAUAAAAUAAAAUAAAAAUAAAAAUUAAUGCAAGCUGGGCAGUGGUGGCAAGACCUUUAAUCCCAGCACCCAGCAUGCAGAAGCAGGCAGAUCUCUGUGAGUUCAAAGCCAGCCUGGUUUACAGAGCAAGUUCCAGGACAGCCUGGACUACACAGAGAAACCCUGUCUCAAAAAAUAAAUAUAUAUCUAAAACAUUGACCGAGCCAGGCAGUGGUGGCGCACGCCUUGAAUCCCAGCACUCGGGAGGCAGAGGCGGGUGGAUCUCUGUGAGUUUGAGGCCAGCUUGGUCUACAAAGUGAGUUCCAGGAAAGGUGCAAAACUACACAGAGAAACCCUGUCUCGAAAAGCCAAAAAAAUAAAAAAUAUAUAAAUAAAACAUUGACAGCUAAUACAGCAACAACUGCCCCCUCCUCAAAAACCAACACACAUUAGCACCCUAAAAAAAGACUUGGGGUUGCUGGAUCCCUUUAUCUGUUCCCCUUCCCAGUGUGGCCACAUUGACUAAAUCUGUGUGUUUUACCAUUACCCUCUUAGCCUCUUUUGAGAGAGUCUCAUGCAGCGCAGCCUGGCCUCGAACUUGCUAUGCCUUAAACCUCUGAUCUUCCUGUUCCUGCUUCUUAAAUACUGGGAUUACAGGCCUGUGACAUCAUUCCUGGUCUAUGCCUUGUUGGGGAUUGACCGCAGGCCUUUGUCCAUGCUAAGCAAGCAGCAUUCUACCCCCUACUUAUCUCUUUAAUUGAUAUAGAGGCCAAGCCCCGCCUGUCGGCUGCCAGAGCUCCCUCUAAUACCCUAAAAUCUCUGGUUAGUUAGAGGGGUUCUCAGUUCACACUGGGGAAUCGGAUGGGGAGGGCAUGGAGAGUAUAGGGAGUCCAUGUUGCCAUUCCCCUUUUGAAACUGUCCUCUUGGAAGAGGAAUGCAGAUGUGGAAUCAUGAGUCAGCCACAUCUGGAGGCCAGGCCAGGAUUCUGCCUUGCCCUCCCAGGCUCAAUCUCUAGCUCCUUCUUCCAGACGAGGAAAGCGCACCCAGGAUGGGAGGAGAGAGAUGCUGUCAGAUCUGGAGUGAGGCUGGGCUGCCUAUCAGUCCCCAGCCCCGCCUUCAGGCAGCUACCAGGAAAACUAACCACAGAAGCUUCAAUCUUUCCUGUGGGGCCUCCCCAGCCUUCAGUCACAGAGAGGGACUGUCAGGGCCCCACCCAGGUCCUUGACUCUUUCCGUGUGUGCCCCUCUGCCACAUCAGGAACUGGGCACAUCAGGCAGAAUUCCAGGUAGAGGACCAGAGAUGAGGCAGGCAAUUGCCAGGCCAACCCAGGUGCUGGGAACACAGAUCUCUAGGAGCUGUCCCUGCCAGGUCAUGACUGGAUAGGAAGACCUGCACCAGGAAGUGAGUGGGGAGGACCCUUCUAGCCAGUCUGCACAGGCAGGCCAUGGAGGAACAUGGUAUGAGGAUCAGACUCCUAACUGGGAGCUGGGGACUCAGCUUCUGCUUCUAGCCUGCAUAUUCAGUGUCUCUAUUUGUAACUGUGCCUGAAGUCCUGCUUUCCUGCCUGAGGGUAAUGUAGGGCAGGACUCAGGUCAUAGGUGACCUUUUUUUAAAAAAAAUGGAGCUCAUGGGGGUUUUGAGACCAUCUCACUCUGUAGCCCAGGCUGACCUGGAAUUUACUAUGUAACCCAGGCUGGUCUGGAACUUGAAGCAGUCCUGCCCAGGAUAACAGGUGUGAGUCAUUAUGCCUAGCUGAGUUUAGGUUUUAUAGUCCCCUUGUCCCCUCUUCCAAGGUUACCUUCCUCGCCCACCUAUGUUGUAGUGUGGAUUUGCCAGAUGCUAGUAUCCCCUGUAACAGGCACUAUGGUUUUUAAGGCAGGGCGGACAGAGAUAAAGUCCCUUCUGUGCCCUCCCUGAAGUCCUCAGGGCCUCGUGGGGGUGGCACCCACUUAUCUGUCGGGCCUAAUGCCCGGCGCCUUGCUUUCAUAGCCUAUCUCAUCUGAGCAUAUCAUCUCACCCUAGUGUCUGCCCACCUGGUGAACUUGUGCCCAGGGAACAGCAGCUGUGGCCAGAUCCCAAGCAGAGGCAGGAGGAGCAGGGGAAAGAUGGAUCUGGGGGCUGCAGCCCAGGGCCUUGGCUGUUCUGAAUAACGUUCAGACCCUGGAAAGUAGCAAUGAUGUCAAUCAUUCCUGGCUGAGUUGAGGGUUGCAGGUAUUGAGGAUAUGUUUUCUCCCUCCUCCUUCCCCAAGGCCAAAGCCCGGCCCUGGAGAUUCUCCCUCAGAUCAAGUCCCGCAGCUGCCAGCAGAGCCCUCUGGAAUUCUGUCCUGCAGCUUAGCCCUUGGAUCUGGCCUUAGCUUGUCCAUACAGGUCCCAGCCAGCAAGGCCCUUCCCGGCCCUCCAGCUCCUCCCCAGCCCUGACGCGGUCUGUACCGCCUUCAGCCAGCACUGGCAGCGAGCCAUGGAGCACAUGGGUACCAUCCACGGCACCCACCAAGCUGGCUCCCACAUGGAGUCCUUGAAGACAGAGCAGGGAGGGACCCCAGAGAGCCAUGCCUGACCUGCUCCCCCACAUCUUAUAUUGCAGGUUAAGGAUGUGGAAACUAGAGGGAGGGCGCCUGGCUGUGCUCUCACAGGGAGCUGGAGCUGAGGAAAACAGCGUGGGCCCAGGGACCUCAAAAACGGCUUCAUGAAGGGCAGAAGGGUGUGUGGGGGGGUGCCUCCAACUCCUGACACCCUCUGCUAGCUUGUGCUGGUACCCUCCCCCACUGCACCUCCUUGGGGCCGCCCCCUGUGCCAGCUUUCCAGGCAGCCACCUUCUCAUCCAGUUUGGUCCCCAUCUGGGGUCGGUCCUCUUCUGCUCAGAAGCCCCAGCCUCCAGGGCUCAGGCCUAAGCUUUAGCGUAUUACUCCGAAAUCAUUGUAUUUCAAUUUUCUCUUGGCUGUGACAAAGCUAUCCAACAAAAGCAAUGUGAGGGGCUUGUUUUGGCUUAUGGUUGAAGUUACCAUCCAUCCUAUCAAGAAAGGCAUAGUGGGAGGAGUGGGAGGCAGCUGGUCACGUUGUGUCUGCACUCGGGGAGAGAGAGAUGAAUGCUGGUAUUCACCUCACUUUCUCCUUUUUUCCCGAGCCCCUAGGAUGGUGCUACUCACAUUCAGGAUGGGACUUGCUUCGUCAGUUAAGACUUCUCUUGAAACAUCCUCACAGGCACGCCCUGUCGUCUCGAUGUGUCGCCUAGGUGCUUUUAAGUCCAGUCAAGUGGACAGUGAAAAGGAACCACCACAAUCCAUUUCUCGUCAACCUGAUACUCAAAUGCUCCACUUCAAUACACAACACACUUCACCUCUGGCCCCAAAGUCUCAAAUUUAUCUCUUAUCACAAAAGACAUUUAAUCCAUCUCUGGAAGUCCAAACAGUUCUAACACUGUUUGAAAAAAGCCCCAAGUCCAAAAUCUCUCCUGAGACUCAAGACAACGUUAGCCAUGAACUCUUAGAAAAACUAAAAAGCAAGUUGCUUCCAGUAUACAGUGGUAAACAUUCCCAUCCCCACAGGGAAGGAUGGGAUCAGAUACAAACAAGCCUGAAACCCAUUGAUACUGACCCUGAAGCUUCCUGCCAGGUAUCUGGCAAACCCCGGCCUCUAACACCCUCCAGCAGCCCCACCCACUCCAAUUCUGCGGCCUGCAGCUUUUCUCAGCUGGUUAACUCAGCCUCAAUCUCAUAGCUUCAAGUAAUAAUGGCCUCGUAGGGCCUCCCGACUGGGACUCCAACCCUGCUGCUACACAUUGCCUGGCCUGGCAGUUUCCUGGAACCUCCAUGACCUGGAGACUUGCAGUUUGUGUGCUUGAAAAACUAGCCCCUUGCGGAUAUGCUGCCUAGUUCUGCUGACAGCUUGAUGCAUGGUCUGGGCCCCUUGGCCACAGGCGUAUUGUGUUCUGUGUGCCCUGGUGGUGUUUGAGCAGGGGAUCCUCCAGCAGUCUCAGUUGGACCGCUUUCAAGACUGCAUUUUUUUUUUUUCUUUUUGGUUGUCCUGAAACUCCCUCUGUAGACCAGGUUGGCCUCAAACUCAGAAAUCUGCCUGCCCCUCUGUCUCCUGAGUGUUGGGACUAAAAGUGUGGGCCACCACCACCUGGUUCAAGACUUCAUUUUCACAAGGCGAGUGUCCUUCAGAGGUUGCAGUCUCGAUCCCAAGGGAUCUUUCCUCUUGUCUCAGGCAUAGUACUGUUUCUCUGUCAUGGCACUAACUUCCUGAACCAUUAUAACUGUUUUCUUUCUACCCAGCUUCUCUGCAACCUUCUGCUCUUACUCACUUGAGAUCUAAGAACGGUGAGCCACAACCAUGCCACAGCUUGGAUGUUGAGCUGUAUUGAAAAUUCUGAACAAACUAGUCCAUUG